ACACAAGCGACUUGCCUGAUGUCAUAGAGCUGAGAAGAGAGAGCUGUGGUUUGAAUUAAGAGAGCCCUGAAGAGCCUCCAGCCUGCAACUGCUGUCUAGACUGUUCUCUGAAAACAGCACCCAGAUUCUUACCUGAGCUUUCCACCACCUUCUCCAGGGCAUCACCUGUACCCUGGAUCCCACUUCAUUGUCUUUCUUGGAUUCUUCCCUUCUUUCGAGGGGAAUACUUCCUCCAGUAACUUCCUGAGGAAGGGGACUAGGAGUGGGACCUUCAAGAUGGCGGAGGAGUAAGAUGUGGAGAUCA